CCCGAGGAUAAUGAUCCAUCUCGGGACGGGGUAAUGAACUGCAACUGUGCCUAAAAAAUGCGGAUCAGAAAGGAACAUAGCAAACCGCGCAGAGUCACCCACCGAGAGAAGAAACUUCCCCAACAGCAAUUGUUUAUAAAUGGUUGAAGAUAGGAGCUGUUCUCGUGUACACGAUGAAAAAUUAGAAGAUUGAUAAUUAAUUUGCAUUAUAUUUUAUAAAAGUUAAAAAAAAAC
rnacentral:lncRNA from 1 species